rnacentral:rRNA from 1 species
UGCUGGAGGUAUCAGAAGUGCGAAUGCUGACAUAAGUAACGAUAAAGCGGGUGAAAAGCCCGCUCGCCGGAAGACCAAGGGUUCCUGUCCAACGUUAAUCGGGGCAGGGUGAGUCGACCCCUAAGGCGAGGCCGAAAGGCGUAGUCGAUGGGAAACAGGUUAAUAUUCCUGUACUUGGUGUUACUGCGAAGGGGGGACGGAGAAGGCUAUGUUGGCCGGGCGACGGUUGUCCCGGUUUAAGCGUGUAGGCUGGUUUUCCAGGCAAAUCCGGAAAAUCAAGGCUGAGGCGUGAUGACGAGGCACUACGGUGCUGAAGCAACAAAUGCCCUGCUUCCAGGAAAAGCCUCUAAGCAUCAGGUAACAUCAAAUCGUACCCCAAACCGACACAGGUGGUCAGGUAGAGAAUACCAAGGCGCUUGAGAGAACUCGGGUGAAGGAACUAGGCAAAAUGGUGCCGUAACUUCGGGAGAAGGCACGCUGAUAUGUAGGUGAAGCGACUUGCUCGUGGAGCUGAAAUCAGUCGAAGAUACCAGCUGGCUGCAACUGUUUAUUAAAAACACAGCACUGUGCAAACACGAAAGUGGACGUAUACGGUGUGACGCCUGCCCGGUGCCGGAAGGUUAAUUGAUGGGGUUAGCGGUAACGCGAAGCUCUUGAUCGAAGCCCCGGUAAACGGCGGCCGUAACUAUAACGGUCCUAAGGUAGCGAAAUUCCUUGUCGGGUAAGUUCCGACCUGCACGAAUGGCGUAAUGAUGGCCAGGCUGUCUCCGCCCGAGACUCAGUGAAAUUGAACUCGCUGUGAAGAUGCAGUGUACCCGCGGCAAGACGGAAAGACCCCGUGAACCUUUACUAUAGCUUGACACUGAACAUUGAGCCUUGAUGUGUAGGAUAGGUGGGAGGCUUUGAAGUGUGGACGCCAGUCUGCAUGGAGCCGACCUUGAAAUACCACCCUUUAAUGUUUGAUGUUCUAACGUUGGCCCGUAAUCCGGGUUGCGGACAGUGUCUGGUGGGUAGUUUGACUGGGGCGGUCUCCUCCUAAAGAGUAACGGAGGAGCACGAAGGUUGGCUAAUCCUGGUCGGACAUCAGGAGGUUAGUGCAAUGGCAUAAGCCAGCUUGACUGCGAGCGUGACGGCGCGAGCAGGUGCGAAAGCAGGUCAUAGUGAUCCGGUGGUUCUGAAUGGAAGGGCCAUCGCUCAACGGAUAAAAGGUACUCCGGGGAUAACAGGCUGAUACCGCCCAAGAGUUCAUAUCGACGGCGGUGUUUGGCACCUCGAUGUCGGCUCAUCACAUCCUGGGGCUGAAGUAGGUCCCAAGGGUAUGGCUGUUCGCCAUUUAAAGUGGUACGCGAGCUGGGUUUAGAACGUCGUGAGACAGUUCGGUCCCUAUCUGCCGUGGGCGCUGGAGAACUGAGGGGGGCUGCUCCUAGUACGAGAGGACCGGAGUGGACGCAUCACUGGUGUUCGGGUUGUCAUGCCAAUGGCACUGCCCGGUAGCUAAAUGCGGAAGAGAUAAGUGCUGAAAGCAUCUAAGCACGAAACUUGCCCCGAGAUGAGUUCU